rnacentral:tRNA from 1 species
AAAACUGGUUUGGAACAAGCUAUUGCUGCUAACUAUGGCUUAGGUAGUUCAAUUCUAUCUUGGUUUUU